rnacentral:lncRNA from 1 species
ACAUUUUUAUUUCAAUAAAGAGUAUUUUAUGUGCGUGUGUCUGAAUUAAAGAAAGCAAAAAUAAACAAAAAUGAGAAAAGCAAAAGGCUAAAUGUGUGUGUGUAAAAGAAUUCAGUGCUCAGUAUUUUGGCUACAGGAAUUUCUGUCAAAGAGACAUGGUUAAACAAAGGUUAAAUGUUCAAUUAUUUUUCAUAGUGGUUUUGUUUUGUUAAGGUGUUUGUGUGAAUGUAUGCGUAUGCAUGUUUAUGCUAGUAUGUGUAUGAUUGUAUGUAUAUGUAUUUUUUAAUGUGUGGUGAAUUGUAUACAUACACACACGUAUGUGUGUACAGUAAUAGAGAGAAAGAUGGGGGAAUUUCUUUCUAAUUUUUUCCAGGAUAUUUUUUAAAAGUGUAGUUUAGAUGUAGUUUUGCUUACUAAUGGUGAAAAUUUUUGGUAAAUUUAUAGUUUAACACCCCUCAAUUUCAGUGAUCAAUGUUUUUUCCUUGUACUGUCAACUAAUCUCAUCUCCUAAUAUGUCGCAAAUGAUUUUUUUUCCCACGGAAAUUGGAGGUGGACCCUUGAAAAUUCCCCCACCCCUCACCUCACCCAAUUGGGCCCCACACCUCCUAAGGCCAGCCCUGGUUGUGGCUAAGUCAGACAGAUAAUUACAUUCUUAUUCUUAUGUAGAUUUAGGACAACGUAGAUUUAGGACAACUGGAUCUGAAAGUUUUCAGAACUUUCUCCCUCUUAAUCAUUAUUUUUUUAUUGAGACUUUUUUUUUAGCUCUUUUAUAUCACAUAGAUAUGUUAAAAUAUCAUCUUCCAAUUGAGUCCAAAAGCCUAACACUCAAGUUUUUACAUGAUUAUGCCAGUUCUGUGUUAUUGGUCAUAAUAUACACAAGAUCGCUCUGAGAUGAACAAAUCAAUAUUGAUGAUUAUAAGUGCUUGUAGAUUGUACAUAAUACUACACUGACCAUUACAAUAAUUAAUUCGCUUUUUAAAUGUUUAUCAUAAUUACCAUAUCUGUGCAGUGUAAAAUAAGGUGAUGACAAAAAAGGGAAUUUAAUUAAAAUAUUAGAUACUUGUUUAGUCAUUAAAAUGUGAUGUGAAGGUAAAAGAUCAAGAUGUAUUUUAAUGGUUUGUAAUUAUUAUUAGUAGUCUACAAAAUCUCCUGCUCUACAUUGAUCCUUAUAUUGCUUUGUCUAAUUAAUCAGUAUCAACCUGUUAGCAUUCAGAUUACUCUAUCUAAUGUAAUGCUAAUUUAUUCAAAAUGUUUUGAAUUAACUAUGCAUUAUCUCAUAGCUUUGAAAUUUUGAGGAUGUGAUUGUUUAUUUUUAGAAUGACAUUCUAUGGUAUGUGUGAGAAUCCAGAUCUGGCUGGUAUGAACAUAAAACAGGUGAAAUAUUUGGCUUACAGAUGGCCAGUUUGAAUGCUAAAAGGUUAAAUCAAGUGAUAUCAAAGAUUAUAUAUAAAAUGAAAAUAUUCCCUCUUCAGUAGUAUGUGUUUUGUUAACAAAAUGUUUGAGUACAUUAACACAGCAUAGCAGACAUUGUUUUCUAAAUAUAUUUCAGUACGUAGCCUAUCAUUUCUAAAUAUAUUUCAGUACGUAACCUAUCAUGUUCUAGUUUGGUUAUUUUGCCAGAAAAAUGCUGAAGUAGUAUAAAGGAAAAGGUAACGGGAAUGUUUAGUAAGAUUUAUUCAGUUUCAUAAGUAUUGCUGCUCUUCUCAGCUAGACAACAAACUAAACAAAACUAAAGGCCAAGAAUAUUUUUUUCUUUUUGUUUUGUAGCAAUGUAGUUUUUUUUUUCUAUGAAUAUAUCAAUCUUUUUCAGUGUAUAUAUAAAAACAAAUGCCUAUUGUUGCCAUAAUGUUGUUAUUAUUGUUGUUCUACCAUGUAAAGAUCAUUGACAUUUCUGAUUGCAAGACAAUGUGCAAGAGAAAAAUCAAGACAGUUGGGGGGAAGUGUGUAUGGGAGGAUAAUGAUCCUCUUAAAGAGAAUGAAAAGUCAUAGAAGUGCUAUUGUGAAAGGUUGUUUAUUGAAGAAAAACAUAGAAGAAAAAGGGUUUACACCAAGUAAAUCCAACAGACUCCAACCAUUCAAGUUGACAGCAAAAUAAUGGAUGUAGCAGGAAGGCACUUAGUCCAUCAGAAAUCACCACCAUGAUACUUAAAAUAUCUGGCAAAGUGUGAUAUGGACAAAUCAUCUGCAUACUAAAUCAGGUUGUACAGGAAGGUGUUAUACCUAAUGACUGGUGUAAUAACAUCAUCAACUGCUACAAGGAUAAAGUUUAACACACUAGAGAGCAGUAAUUAUUGAAGUAGCACAAUUGACUAGGAAGAGAAUUAACAGGUACAUGAGUGGGAUCUUGCAAGUGAAUUUGGUUGGCAGAAUCUGUAAGAAACCCAUUAUAAUACAUAUAUGUAUAAGUGUGUGUUUGUGAGCGAGAUUUUUUCAUGUCUUGACAUCAUGUGUUAGUUGAAUACAAGAAUCAGUUUUACAAGCUGUUGACUACCCCAUCCGGGCAUAACAAAAUGGAUGUUAAAAUUGUGUGUGUGUGUAAGGAUGUCAAGUGGUUAAAUAAAUAUAUUAAUCUCUUAUACCUUCUGACCUUUUGUGGUUCAUAUAUGUGUGUGCGUGUGUGUGUGUGUACUGUCAAGUCUAUAUUAUUGACUUCAUUUACAUUCCUAUACUUGCCCUCAUUACUUGAACCUCUAAUCACACAUUAUCUUUAUCAUUCAUCUAUCUAUCUCUCAUAUCCCCAUUGUUUUUCUCUUGAUCAUUCUCCCCUCUUCUCAAUCUCACAGUUGCUGGUGUGACCAAGGAUGGUAGUGGAUCUCUUUUGUUUUCUGUACACUGCUUCAAGUGUAACGGGUUCUCUCAUCAACACCCUACCUCCACUUCUUUUUCAUUUUACUUUUGCUCUCUUGGCUAACUUGAAACACAUACAUAAGGGCCCUCAUCAUGUACCCCAUGCACUCCUCUACCUAUACUCUGCUCCUGAUCAUAAAUAGUUGAUAAACCUUGUUAUUUAAGUGACAUAAAUAGUUGAGGAAAUAUAGGACGUGGAAGCAUAGUGAAUAAGGUUAAUGAUGGAUAGUCAUAAAACAGUCAGCAAAAGAUUUAUCACAUUGUAUAAAAAGUAGGCUAUAUGCUUAUAAAACAAGAGGAUCUUUAAUUAUUGGAGAGGUAUAAGUUGAUUAUAACCUGUUUAGUAUGCAGAGAAAUAAAUGCAAAUGAAUGACUGAAUAAAAAGUACUGUGAUUAAAGGAACCCACAGUUAAGAUUACUCAAUGGGAGAAUUAUUACAGACUUGUCCAAUUCAUGCUGGAUAUUGAAAUGUUGAUGAUAGUAGGGAUAGUAAUGGAUGUGGUACAAUAAUAAUGAUCACACCACCAUUAUCAUCAUCGCCACUUCCCUUAAUUCUGUAUUAUCUUAUCUGAGACCAAACCUACUGAGGCAUCACUGUUUCUUUCCAUGUCUACUACUAGAAGUAUCUUUCACUCUUAGUACAUAACACAUUUCCUCUAAUCAUUUGUAGUGCAUUUGUAUCUCCUGUCAAAUCAGUAUAGUCUCUUGCGCUCAUUGAUUGAUACCCCUUCUUCUAUGCUCAACCUUUCAUGGAAAUUAGUGUUGCACAUCCUAUCUCUCACACUUGACUCCUUUCUCUUCAGAAUCUGAAAGACGUUUGUAUUCAAUGCCUGUGUUUCACAAACAUGCAGCAUCACACUUCUUCAUACAGCGUCUUUUGCAUGAAGAGAGAAACCUCUUAUUACAAAUAAAUAUGAGAAUUUCUUUCACUCCUUUCUUACUCAAGCUGCUAUACUUUCUCUAGAAAUACCCCUAAUUGAAAAAGGGAACAGAAAUUACUAUCUCAGAUGACCCAUCUGAGAAGUUUAUGGACUUCACUUUAUAAGUGCUUAUUUGGUUAACUACUCUUGUAUAUGUAGCACAUCUGAAAUCCUUGUUCAUAACCAUUCUCUAGAAUUCCCACUGUAUCUUUUGUAUAUUCAUUGCUUACACUAAUUACAUAAUACUAGGAUCCCACUAACUCUUCCCAAACAUAUCAAACUAUAUCACUUUCAGAUUUCAGCUCUCUCUACCAAUUAGAGUUUUGGUUUUUGUCAUGUUGACAUUUUGGGUUUUUCAUUUUAAGGCCUUUUUUUUUCUUUAAUUCUUCAAAAUAUUUUGCUAUGACAACUAGGUCACCAGCAAAAAAAAGUUCACAAAGAUAUAUAUUUUGAAUGUAAUUUUAAAACCUAAGCUGAACAGAAGCUUCAUCCUGAAAUUUCCUAUAAACACUUCCUUACCUGAUCUACACUUGACUUUUCCAUUACCCACUAGAAUACAGAAUGUAAGACCUUAAGUAAUAACUUGUUCUGUAUUUGUCUCUUUGUGAAUAUGGAUGCACAAAUGUAAUAUUUCCAUUUAGAGACAAUAUCUUAUCCAAACAAAAACACUUAAUAACUUCCAACAGUUGUGACUUUGUGAAUCAAAAAUUUGAUAAUUACUUUUCUCCUCUACAUUUCUUUGCCUUAUAAUGGAUAGUUUUUGCCAGACAUUUGAGCUAACAUUUCUGCAACUAUUUUGAAUGUUCCAGUAGCAUUCACUGCUUAAAUCUAACUAAUUACCCUUACUAAUCAAGCUAAAUCCCUUUAGUUUCUGUUGGAUCUAUGUGGAAUGGAUAUUUACUCUCCUUCUACAACUUUUCAUGGUAGUAAUUCAACACCUCUUUUUCUUUGCACUGUCAAUAACAUCUUGGUUCAUACAAACAUUUUGCCUUGCAAUUUAGAAUCCUCCAUAGCUUUUCUCUUUAUAGUAGGGCAUUAACUCUAAGUUUUCCUUGAAGAAAACUUGAUUCUUGCUUUCUGCCUAGCCUCUUGAUUAGGAUUCAGACUACUUGUUCUGCUUCUUUUAAACCUUUCACUUGACCAUCUAUCUGUGGCAUAAACUUCCUGUUUUAAAGUGACAAGGUUAUUUGACAAAAUUCCUCAGCAUUUUCAAACUUCAUUAAAGCAAAUGCAGGAGAGAAUAAGAUGAAUAGAUGGAGAACGUAAAGACAAAGAGGCUGGAUUGCUGGCUUUAAUCAUCAUGAGUUCUUAUAGCUAAAGACUAGUGGUGGAGUACUAUACAAUAUUUGCUACUGACAUAUGAUUUAAUAUAUCCAUUAAGUUGAUAAAAAGCUUAUAGUUACCAAAUACUAUUUAGUUUUGUUCUCAUUGAUAAUUAGCAACGUAAGAAAGCCGAAGGAAGUCACAAGAGAUCAGUAAUUAUAAAGAACAUGAUAGUAGAAAGGAGGUAUAACAGUAAUGCCAUCUGUUUUAAAUGUAGUAGACUGUAAGUGAAGUAGGCACUUCUUUCAAAAAUAUUUUCAAUUUUUCAAAAUUUUGUUUUGUUUUCUAAUAUUUCCUGACAGCUUGUUGAAAUUUAGUUGUCAAAAGCUUCCUCUACCUAACUCAUCACUUGCUCUAUUUUGUUUUACUGAAUGUGUGUGUAUGUAUUCUUGGUGACAUAUGAAUAAAUAUAUUAACAGGCUGAAUGAAAGCAAAGUACAACUGAAUUAAAUUUCCCUUUAAAAUACAACAUAUGCAAUGUUCUAUUUUAUCAGCACUAUGAGUCAGGCCAGAUGUUGGGGUAUGCAUUGUUGCAGUGCAUUACUGCAGUCACCAUUUGUUGGUAUAUUUUUGGGUCCUUCCAGACAACCCAUUGAACAAAGUCCCAGUCAGUCCUCAUUUCCACGUGAUACCUCCUCAUCUGCUGUGACCAUGUAGCUGACCAACAUGAGCUGUCAACCCAGCUGGAUCCUCAGUGAAGAGAGCAUGGUAAGCAGGGCCUAGCUUGGAAAAUCAAGCAACAUGGCUAAACAGUUUGAACAGAUGCUCCCAAUUCAAGCAAAUAACAGGAUGCAUCCCAGUUUUUGAGCAGAGCUAUUGGUUGGAUACAAUAUGGUAACCCAUAAUUUUGCAUAACAUCCUGCUACCAAGUGAGUUCAGGCAGCUCCUAAGGGCCCCAGACAGUGUCCAAGUCUCACAACUAUAGAGUAAGACGGGGAGAACCAGAGACCUUAGGACUCAAACUUUUGUCCUCCUGCAUAGUGCCAAACACACUUGUCCAAUGCGUGCACAACUGCACCAGCUCAUCCAAGUUUUUCAGGAGUCUAAAGUC